rnacentral:rRNA from 1 species
AUGAUUGCUCUUAUCGGUAUGGCUCCUACCGGAAAGGAAAGGAAAGAAGAGAAGAAGAAGAAGAAGGAAAGGAAAGCAGCCGGAGCUGCUUUCACGUGGAUUCAAAAUAACUUUGCGACCUGCCCUGCGGAUGCCACUAAUGAUGUGAUCCAGACACAUGCUCAUGUCUAUAUGCGGUACGUUGUCUCGAGGACUUUGUUUCCUGACUCCACGGGCAAGAACACUCCAUGGAUGUGGCUGAUGGCGUUGACCGUCUUCGAUAGAGGAUGGAGCUGGGGUUCAGCGACUCUUGCUUACUUGUACCAACAGGUAGUUGGUUUGUUUUGCUAUCAAGUCAUAUUCCUUUCGACAAUGUUAUUAUUGAGAAAUUCAAGACCACCGGGGUCGAGUUUCUUGUGUCUGAGCAAUGCAUUGAACAAUGUGGCAAACCGCUUGUCGGAGAAAGCGAGACAACAAUCUUGA